ACACAACUGGGGAACCCGUGAGAGGAUGGGUAUAAUCCUUGAGCCUAAUUUCUUACCCCGGGAGUAGUUGUAACAGCUUGGUGUGCAUGACCGCAUGACGGUAAGCCUGAAAACUGUUCGCUGCACCCACUUGAACCAUUGGUUCAAGGUCGAAGUCUUCCACGAUUCUUUGGGGUGUGUC
rnacentral:other from 1 species